GGCUGGGUGGCUCAGUUGGUUAGGGCAUCAUUCUGAUAAGACAAGGUUGUGGGUUCAAUCCCCAGUCCCAGGUU
rnacentral:tRNA from 1 species